rnacentral:lncRNA from 1 species
AACGGGUGGGCUAUAGCCUUGGUGAGGGGCGUGGGCGAAGUUCGUCCGCGGGACUCGGAAUGGCACCAGACUUGGCGGGCGGCCUCCGUGUGCCAAAAAUAGGCCACGGGCACAGCCGCGCCAAAAAGCAGCCCCCGAAGGUCGGGGUCCCAAGACCCCCCAGCGGAAAAAUGGCCAAAAAUCGGGUGGGCUAUAGCCUUGGUGGGGGGUGUGGGCGAAGUUCGUCCGCGGAACUCGGAAUGGCACCAGACUUGGCGGGCGGCCUCAGUGUGCCAAAAAUAGGCCACGGGCACAGCCGCGCCCAAAAACAAGCCCCCGAAGGUCGGGGUCCCAAGACCCCCCAGCGGAAAAAUGGCCAAAAAACGGGUGGGCUAUAGCCUUGGUCUGGGGCGUGGGCGAAGUUCGUCCGCGGGACUCGGAAUGGCACCAGACUUGGCGGGCGGCCUCCGUGUGCCAAAAAUAGGCCAUGGGCACAGCCUCGCCCAAAAACCAGGCCCCGAAGGUCGGGGUCCCAAGACCCCCCAGCGGAAAAAUGGCCAAAAAUCGGGUGGCCUAUAGCCUUGGUGGGGGUGUGGGCGAAGUUCGUCCGCGGAACUCGGAAUGGCACCAGACUUGGCGGGCGGCCUCAGUGUGCCAAAAAUAGGCCACGGGCACAGCCGCGCCCAAAAACAAGCCCCCGAAGGUCGGGGUCCCAAGACCCCCCAGCGGAAAAAUGGCCAAAAAACGGGUGGGCUAUAGCCUUGGUCUGGGGCGUGGGCGAAGUUCUUCCGCGGGACUCGGAAUGGCACCAGACUUGGCGGGCGGCCUCCGUGUUCCAAAAAUAGGCCAUGGGCACAGCCUCGCCCAAAAACCAGGCCCCGAAGGUCGGGGUCCCAAGACCCCCCAGCGGAAAAAUGGCCAAAAAACGGGUGGGCUAUAGCCUUGGUGGGGGGCGUGGGCGAAGUUGGUCCGCGGGACUCGGAAUGGCACCAGACUUGGCGGGCGGCAUCCGUGUGCCAAAAAUAGGCCACGGGCACAGCUGCGCCCAAAAACCAGCCCCCGAAGGUCGGGGUCCCAAGACCCCCCAGCGGAAAAAUGGCCAAAAAACGGGUGGGCUAUAGCCUUGGUGGGGGGCGUGGGCGAAGUUCGUCCGCGGGACUCGGAAGGGCACCAGACUUGGCGGGCGGCCUCCGUGUGCCAAAAAUAGGCCACGGGCACAGCCGCGCCAAAAAGCAGCCCCCGAAGGUCGGGGUCCCAAGACCCCCCAGCGGAAAAAUGGCCAAAAAACGGGUGGGCUAUAGCCUUGGUGGGGGGCGUGGGCGAAGUUCGUCCGCGGGACUCGGAAAGGGCACCAGACUUGGCGGGCGGCCUCCGUGUGCCAAAAAUAGCCACGGGCACAGCCGCGCCCAAAAAACAGCCCCCGAAUGUCGGGGUCCCAAGACCCCCCAGCGGAAAAAUAGCCAAAAAACGAGUGGGCUAUAGCCUUGGGGGGGGGCGUGGGCGAAGUUCGUCCGCGGGACUCGGAAUGGCUCCAGACUUGGCGGACGGCCUCCGUGUGCCAAAAAUAGGCCACGGGCACAGCCGCGCCCAAAAACCAGCCCCCGAAGGUCGGGGUCCCAAGACCCCCCAGCGGAAAAAUGACCAAAAAACGGGUGGGCUAUAGCCUUGGUGGGGGGCGUGGGCGAAGUUCGUCCGCGGGCCUCGGAAUGGCACCAGACUUGCCGGGCGGCCUCCGUGUGCCAAAAAUAGGCCACGGGCACAGCCGCGCCCAAAAAACAGCCCCCGAAGGUCGGGGUCCAAAGACCCCCCACCGGAAAAAUGGCCAAAAAACGGGUGGGCUAUAGCCUUGGCGGGGGGCGUGGGCGAAGUUCGUCCGCGGGACUCGGAAUGGCACCAGACUUGCCGGGCGGCCUCCGUGUGCCAAAAAUAGGCCACGGGCACAGCCGCGCCCAAAAAACAGCCCCCGAAGUUCGGGGUCCCAAGUCCCCCCAGCGGAAAAAUGGCCAAAAAACGGGUGGGCUAUAGCCUUGGUGGGGGGCGUGGGCGAAGUUCGUCCGCGGGACUCGGAAUGGCACCAGACUUGGCGGGCGGCCUCCGUGUGCCAAAAAUACGCCACGGGCACACCCGCGCCCAAAAACCAGCCCCCGAAGGUCGGGGUCCCAAGACCCCCCAGCGGAAAAAUGACCAAAAAACGGGUGGGCUAUAGCCUUGGUGGGGGGCGUGGGCGAAGUUCGUCCGCGGGCCUCGGAAUGGCACCAGACUUGCCGGGCGGCCUCCGUGUGCCAAAAAUAGGCCACGGGCACAGCCGCGCCCAAAAAACAGCCCCCGAAGGUCGGGGUCCAAAGACCCCCCAGCGGAAAAAUGGCCAAAAAACGGGUGGGCUAUAGCCUUGGUGGGGGGCGUGGGCGAAGUUCGUCCGCGGGACUCGGAAUGGCACCAGACUUGGCGGGCGGCCUCCGUGUUCCAAAAAUAGGCCACGGGCACAGCCGCGCCCAAAAACCAGCCCCCGAAGGUCGGGGUCCGAAGACCCCCCAGCGGAAAAAUGGCCAAAAAACGGGUGGGCUAUAGCCUUGGUCUGGGGCGUGGGCGAAGUUCGUCCGCGGGACUCGGAAUGGCACCAGACUUGGCGGACGGCCUCCGUGUGCCAAAAAUAGGCCACGGGCGCAGCCGUGCCCAAAAAACAGCCCCCGAAGGUCGGGGUCCCAAGACCCACCAGCGGAAAAAUGGCCAAAAAACGGGUGGGCUAUAGCCUUGGUGGGUGGCGUGGGCAAAGUUCGUCCGCGGGACUCGGAAUGGCACCAGACUUGGCGGGCGGCCUCCGUGUGCCAAAAAUAGGCCACGGGCACAGCCGCGCCCAAAAAAAAGCCCCCGAAGGUCGGGGUCCCAAGACCCCCCAGCGGAAAAAUGGCCAAAAAACGGGUGGGCUAUAGCCUUGGUGGGUGGCGUGGGCGAAGUUCGUCCGCGGGACUCGGAAUGGCACCAGACUUGGCGGGCGGCCUCCGUGUGCCAAAAAUAGGCCUCGGGCACAGCCGCGCCCAAAAAACAGCCCCCGAAGGUCGGGGUCCCAAGACCCCCCAGCGGAAAAAUAGCCAAAAAACGAGUGGGCUAUAGCCUUGGUGGGGGGCGUGGGCGAAGUUCGUCCGCGGGACUCGGAAUGGCUCCAGACUUAGCGGACGGCCUCCGUGUGCCAAAAAUAGGCCACGGGCACAGCCGCGCCCAAAAAACAGCCGCCGAAGGUCGGGGUCCCAAGACCCACCAGCGGAAAAAUGGCCAAAAAACGGGUGGGCUAUAGCCUUGGUGGGUGGCGUGGGCGAAGUUCGUCCGCGGGACUCGGAAUGGCACCAGACUUGGCGGGCGGCCUCCGUGUGCCAAAAAUAGGCCACGGGCACACCCGCGCCCAAAAAACAGCCCCCGAAGGACGGGGUCCCAAGACCCCCCAGCGGAAAAAUGGCCAAAAAACGGGUGGGCUAUAGCCUUGGUGGGGGGCGUGGGCGAAGUUCGUCCGCGGGACUCGGAAUGGCACCAGACUUGGCGGGCGGCCUCCGUGUGCCAAAAAUAGGCCACGGGCACAGCCGCGCCCAAAAAACAGCCCCCGAAGGUCGGGGUCCCAAGACCCCCCAGCGGAAAAAUGGCCAAAAAACGGGUGGGCUAUAGCCUUGGUGGGGGGCGUGGGCGAAGUUCGUCCGCGGGACUCGGAAUGGCUCCAGACUUGGCGGACGGCCUCCGUGUGCCAAAAAUAGGCCACGGGCACAGCCGCGCCCAAAAAACAGCCCCCGAAGGUCGGGGUCCCAAGACCCACCAGCGGAAAAAUGGCCAAAAAACGGGUGGGCUAUAGCCUUGGUGGGUGGCGUGGGCGAAGUUCGUCCGCGGGACUCGGAAUGGCACCAGACUUGGCGGGCGGCCUCCGUGUGCCAAAAAUAGGCCACGGGCACAGCCGCGCCCAAAAAACAGCCCCCGAAGGUCGGGGUCCCAAGACCCCCCAGCGGAAAAAUGGCCAAAAAACGGGUGGGCUAUAGCCUUGGUGGGGGGCGUGGGCGAAGUUCGUCCGCGGGACUCGGAAUGGCACCAGACUC